rnacentral:rRNA from 1 species
CAGUAGCCGCGGUAAUACAGAGGGUGCGAGCGUUAAUCGGAUUUACUGGGCGUAAAGCGUGCGUAGGCGGCUUCUUAAGUCGGAUGUGAAAUCCCUGAGCUUAACUUAGGAAUUGCAUUCGAUACUGGGAAGCUAGAGUAUGGGAGAGGAUGGUAGAAUUCCAGGUGUAGCGGUGAAAUGCGUAGAGAUCUGGAGGAAUACCGAUGGCGAAGGCAGCCAUCUGGCCUAAUACUGACGCUGAGGUACGAAAGCAUGGGGAGCAAACAGGAUUAGAUACCCCUGUAGUCCCUGACUCUUAUAC